GCCGGGUUAGCUCAGUUGGUAGAGCAACCGCCUUGUAAGCGGAAGGUCAGAGGUUCAAACCCUUCUACCUGGCA
rnacentral:tRNA from 2 species